UGCGUACCUUUUGUAUAAUGGGUCAGCGACUUAUAUUCAGUGGCAAGCUUAACCGUAUAGGGUAGGCGUAGCGAAAGCGAGUCUUAAUAGGGCGUUUAGUCGCUGGGUAUAGACCCGAAACCGGGCGAUCUAUCCAUGAGCAGGUUGAAGGUUAGGUAACACUGACUGGAGGACCGAACCCACUCCCGUUGAAAAGGUAGGGGAUGACUUGUGGAUCGGAGUGAAAGGCUAAUCAAGCUCGGAGAUAGCUGGUUCUCCUCGAAAGCUAUUUAGGUAGCGCCUCAUGUAUCACUCUGGGGGGUAGAGCACUGUUUCGGCUAGGGGGUCAUCCCGACUUACCAAACCGAUGCAAACUCCGAAUACCCAGAAGUGCCGAGCAUGGGAGACACACGGCGGGUGCUAACGUCCGUCGUGAAAAGGGAAACAACCCAGACCGCCAGCUAAGGUCCCAAAGUUGUGGUUAAGUGGUAAACGAUGUGGGAAGGCUUAGACAGCUAGGAGGUUGGCUUAGAAGCAGCCACCCUUUAAAGAAAGCGUAAUAGCUCACUAGUCGAGUCGGCCUGCGCGGAAGAUGUAACGGGGCUCAAACCACACACCGAAGCUGCGGGUGUCACGCAAGUGACGCGGUAGAGGAGCGUUCUGUAAGCCUGUGAAGGUGAGUUGAGAAGCUUGCUGGAGGUAUCAGAAGUGCGAAUGCUGACAUGAGUAACGACAAUGGGUGUGAAAAACACCCACGCCGAAAGACCAAGGGUUCCUGCGCAACGUUAAUCGACGCAGGGUUAGUCGGUUCCUAAGGCGAGGCUGAAAAGCGUAGUCGAUGGGAAACAGGUUAAUAUUCCUGUACUUCUGGUUACUGCGAUGGAGGGACGGAGAAGGCUAGGCCAGCUUGGCGUUGGUUGUCCAAGUUUAAGGUGGUAGGCUGAAAUCUUAGGUAAAUCCGGGGUUUCAAGGCCGAGAGCUGAUGACGAGUCGUCUUUUAGAUGACGAAGUGGUUGAUGCCAUGCUUCCAAGAAAAGCUUCUAAGCUUCAGGUAACCAGGAACCGUACCCCAAACCGACACAGGUGGUCGGGUAGAGAAUACCAAGGCGCUUGAGAGAACUCGGGUGAAGGAACUAGGCAAAAUGGCACCGUAACUUCGGGAGAAGGUGCGCCGGCUAGGGUGAAGGAUUUACUCCGUAAGCUCUGGCUGGUCGAAGAUACCAGGCCGCUGCGACUGUUUAUUAAAAACACAGCACUCUGCAAACACGAAAGUGGACGUAUAGGGUGUGACGCCUGCCCGGUGCCGGAAGGUUAAUUGAUGGGGUUAGCGCAAGCGAAGCUCUUGAUCGAAGCCCCGGUAAACGGCGGCCGUAACUAUAACGGUCCUAAGGUAGCGAAAUUCCUUGUCGGGUAAGUUCCGACCUGCACGAAUGGCGUAACGAUGGCGGCGCUGUCUCCACCCGAGACUCAGUGAAAUUGAAAUCGCUGUGAAGAUGCAGUGUAUCCGCGGCUAGACGGAAAGACCCCGUGAACCUUUACUGUAGCUUUGCACUGGACUUUGAGCCUGCUUGUGUAGGAUAGGUGGGAGGCUUUGAAGCGUGGACGCCAGUUCGCGUGGAGCCAUCCUUGAAAUACCACCCUGGCAUGCUUGAGGUUCUAACUCUGGUCCGUAAUCCGGAUCGAGGACAGUGUAUGGUGGGCAGUUUGACUGGGGCGGUCUCCUCCUAAAGAGUAACGGAGGAU
rnacentral:rRNA from 1 species